rnacentral:rRNA from 1 species
AUUGAACGCUGGCGGCGUGCUUAACACAUGCAAGUCGAUCGGUAACGCGGGGGCAACCCUGGCGACGAGAGGCGGACGGGUGAGGAACGCUUGGGAAUCUGCCCUUCAGCGGGGGACAACCCGGGGAAACCCGGGCUAAUAACGCAUACGCUCCACGGAGGAAAGCCGGGGACCGCAAGGCCUGGCACUGCAGGAUGAGCCCAAGUCGGAUUAGCUAGUUGGCGGGGUAACGGCCCACCAAGGCGACGAUCCGUAGCUGGUCUGAGAGGACGAUCAGCCACACCGGAACUGAGACACGGUCCGGACUCCUACGGGAGGCAGCAGUGGGGAAUAUUGGACAAUGGGGGAAACCCUGAUCCAGCGACGCCGCGUGGGUGAAGAAGGCCUGCGGGUUGUAAAGCCCUUUCGGUAGGGACGAAAGCUCUUGCCCUAACACGGCAGGAGGUUGACUUAACCUACAUAAGAAGCACCGGCUAACUCUGUGCCAGCCGCCGCCGUAACAC